rnacentral:rRNA from 1 species
GACGAACGCUGGCGGCGUGCUUAACACAUGCAAGUCGAACGGAAAGGCCCUGCUUUUGUGGGGUGCUCGAGUGGCGAACGGGUGAGUAACACGUGAGUAACCUGCCCUUGACUUUGGGAUAACCUCAGGAAACUGGGGCUAAUACCGGAUAGGAGCUCCUGCUGCAUGGUGGGGGUUGGAAAGUUUCGGCGGUUGGGGAUGGACUCGCGGCUUAUCAGCUUGUUGGUGGGGUAGUGGCUUACCAAGGCUUUGACGGGUAGCCGGCCUGAGAGGGUGACCGGCCACAUUGGGACUGAGAUACGGCCCAGACUCCUACGGGAGGCAGCAGUGGGGAAUAUUGCACAAUGGGCGGAAGCCUGAUGCAGCAACGCCGCGUGCGGGAUGACGGCCUUCGGGUUGUAAACCGCUUUCGCCUGUGACGAAGCGUGGGUGACGGUAAUGGGUAAAGAAGCACCGGCUAACUACGUG